rnacentral:rRNA from 1 species
UGGGGAAUAUUUCACAAUGGGCGCAAGCCUGAUGCAGCCAUGCCGCGUGUAUGAAGAAGGCCUUCGGGUUGUAAAGUACUUUCAGCGGGGAGGAAGGGAGUAAAGUUAAUACCUUUGCUCAUUGACGUUACCCGCAGAAGAAGCACCGGCUAACUCCGUGCCAGCAGCCGCGGUAAUACGGAGGGUGCAAGCGUUAAUCGGAAUUACUGGGCGUAAAGCGCACGCAGGCGGUUUGUUAAGUCAGAUGUGAAAUCCCCGGGCUCAACCUGGGAACGGCAUCUGAUACUGGCAAGCUUGAGUCUCGUAGAGGGGGGUAGAAUUCCAGGUGUAGCGGUGAAAUGCGUAGAGAUCUGGAGGAAUACCGGUGGCGAAGGCGGCCCCCUGGACGAAGACUGACGCUCAGGUGCGAAAGCGUGGGGAGCAAACAGG